rnacentral:rRNA from 1 species
GUGGGGAAUUUUGGACAAUGGGGGCAACCCUGAUCCAGCCAUGCCGCGUGCGGGAAGAAGGCCUUCGGGUUGUAAACCGCUUUUGUCAGGGAAGAAAUCCUUUGGGUUAAUACCUCGGAGGGAUGACGGUACCUGAAGAAUAAGCACCGGCUAACUACGUGCCAGCAGCCGCGGUAAUACGUAGGGUGCGAGCGUUAAUCGGAAUUACUGGGCGUAAAGCGUGCGCAGGCGGUUAUAUAAGACAGAUGUGAAAUCCCCGGGCUCAACCUGGGAACUGCAUUUGUGACUGUAUAGCUAGAGUACGGCAGAGGGGGAUGGAAUUCCGCGUGUAGCAGUGAAAUGCGUAGAUAUGCGGAGGAACACCGAUGGCGAAGGCAAUCCCCUGGGCCUGUACUGACGCUCAUGCACGAAAGCGUGGGGAGCAAACAGGAUUAGAUACCCUGGUAGUCC